GGGCGCAUAGCUCAGUGGUACGAGCGCCUGCUUGACACGCAGGAGGUCCGUGGUUCAAUCCCACGUGCGCCCACCA
rnacentral:tRNA from 1 species